rnacentral:rRNA from 2 species
GAUGAACGCUGGCGGCGUGCCUAAUACAUGCAAGUCGAACGGGAAUCUUCGGAUUCCAGUGGCGAACGGGUGAGGAAUACAUAGGUAACCUGCCCCUCCGAGGGGGACAACAGACGGAAACAUCUGCUAAGACCGCAUAGCCACAGGGAAGGCAUCUUCCCUGUGCCAAAUGUCCUUUCGGGGACAGCGGGGGGAUGGACCUAUGCCGCAUUAGCUGGUUGGCGGGGCAACGGCCCACCAAGGCGACGAUGCGUAGCCGGCCUGAGAGGGCGGACGGCCACACUGGGACUGAGACACGGCCCAGACUCCUACGGGAGGCAGCAGUAGGGAAUUUUCGGCAAUGGGGGAAACCCUGACCGAGCAACGCCGCGUGAACGAUGAAGGCCUUCGGGUCGUAAAGUUCUGUUGCGAAGGAAGAACGCCGGUGUCAGGAAAUGGGCGCCGGGUGACGGUACU